CACUAAGGUCCAUACUUGGUUCAAGUGCAUUGAGUCAAUUUCUGACUUCAUUGCAUCUAACCAUUUUUCAAAAUCAAUGUCAGACAUUGCCUCGUCAAAAGUAUUAAGAUCAUCACCAUGACCCCCAUCUCCCAUAAGGAAUGCUUCCUCUACAUCCUCUUUCAGUAUACCCAUGUAUCUUUCAAGAGGAUGGGAGAUUCUACUUGACCUACGAGGUGGAUGUGGAACAAUAACUGCUGGCUUAUCCUGGAUG
rnacentral:lncRNA from 1 species